UUCUUUUCCACAGCAGAAGCCAAAGAGCCAAAUGGCACAGUCUGAGUUUGCCAGCCACUGGCCAAGGCUCUGGCUGCUGGCACCCUGCUCUGCGGCCCAUUGUGAGAUCGCAUCGGCUCCGCCUGGCAUGGAAAAGGGGAGCUGGCGCUGCCCGGCCUGUAGGUGGGAGAGGAAGCAGGGGACGUUGGUUCUUGGCAGGCAAACCUGUUGCCGCUAAAACUUGGCACGUCUGGGUGGCUUUAGCAGUCCAGACAGAGAAUUAGCACACAGCAAUGCCAGUCUGGCUCCUUGGUACUGCCCAUGGAAAGAGAUUUCUUCCUUGGCAGGGAGCUUGGUACAUCGCAGAGAUGGUGCUGGGAGACCAGCAUUCCAGGAUCAGCACCGCCUUUCACCAGCCACGGGAUGUGGACAAGGCGUUCGGCUUCCUCGGGCCUCAGUUGCCAUCGGCCCCAUCUAUCGCUGUGAAGACUGAGGCAGUGAUACGGGUGAAAGCAAACUGUACACGGAUACACCUCGAACACACGCAAGACAUGUGGAUCGUGCUCUCCACAAACAGCCCUUUCACCAGACUGGCCUCCUGUGAUGUUUUCUCAUUCCGCCUUAUUAAAAAGCUGCUUACUCGGG